GCCUGUUUUCAUGUUAAGGCUAUCACAUGCUGUGAGCAGGAAUCAGGAGUAACCAAGGAAGUGGGUGUGGACUUCCGCUGGUGGAAGUCGGGAGAGCGUUAAGAGACCAGCAGUGGAAAGGAUAAGCAGCUUCAGAUCCUGCUGAAGGGUCCCGGCCCGAAAUGUUGACUGUUUACUCUUUGCCAUAAAUGCCGCCUGGCCUGCUGAGUUCCUUCAGCAUCUUGUGUGUGUUGACUUGGAUUUCCAGCAUCUGCAGACCUUCUCUUGUUUGUGAGCAGCUUCAAGUUCCCGGGCAUCAACAUCUCGGGGAUUGAUCCUGGGCCCAGCGCGCUGACGCGAUCACGAAGAAGGCACACUGACAGCUCUAAUUUGUCCGUAGUUUGAGGCGAUUUGGUAUGUUACCCAAAAACCCUUUCAAAUUUCUACAGACGUAUGGUGGAGAGCGUUCUGACUGGCUGCUCCGCAGCUUGGUGUGGAUGUGCACAGGAUCACUACAGGCUGCAGACGGUUGUAGCUCCGCCAGCUCCAUCACAGGCAAAACCCUCCCCUCCACCGAGGACAUCUUCAAGAGGCAGUGACUCAAGACGGUGGCACCAUCACGAAGGACCCUCACCGUCCAGGACAUCCGGUGUCCUCAUUACAGCUUUCCAGGUAGCCAGUCAAAAUCCUUUCACCAUGGGGAAAAUGUGAAAUGCUGGGGGCAUGGCUUUCAGGGUUCUUUCAAAGACCCUGACCUGGAGUUACACGCUGACUUUGGUUCUUUGUGGGAAUGGGACCCGCUAUCAGGAUUUCACAACUGGUCAUUAUCCAACAUGCCAAGGGCUCGGCCUAAGAGCUCAGCUCGCCUUCGGAGGGCUGAGAUCUCAUGGCUCUGGAGACAGGCAAAUCAAAGGUCAAUGUCCGGGCAGGUCGUUGUGUCAUGAGAGAUGGAAGAUCUAAGACUGUUUGCCCAGAGACCUGAGAUCUUUGGGCACAGAGCUCGGAAAAAGUGACGCAACAGACUUUUAACAUCGUAAACCAGCGAGUUGUUUGUUAUGUCUCCCCUCUCUCUGUGAAACAGAGACACCUCUUUCUCCCUUAUUAGGGAGCCUGUGGUAUGUCGAAUGCCUGGUGAACUAGUAGUCUUUGGGGUAACUGCAAGUCUGUGUCUUUGCUGUUGCUUUGCUCACGUUUGGGUGCUCCGUGGCGGGUGCUGAUGCUUUCUUUUGCUGGUGGGGGGAGAAGGGAUUGUUGCUUGCUGCU